UACGAAGGGGGGCUAGCGUUGUUCGGAAUCACUGGGCGUAAAGGGCGCGUAGGCGGCUUUGUAAGUCGGGGGGUGAAAGCCUGUGGCUCAACCACAGAAUUGCCUUCGAUACUGCAUGGCUUGAGACCGGAAGAGGUAAGUGGAACUGCGAGUGUAGAGGUGAAAUUCGUAGAUAUUCGCAAGAACACCAGUGGCGAAGGCGGCUUACUGGUCCGGUUCUGACG
rnacentral:rRNA from 1 species